rnacentral:rRNA from 1 species
AUUGAACGCUGGCGGCAGGCCUAACACAUGCAAGUCGAACGAGUGGCGGACGGGUGAGUAAUGUCUGGGAAACUGCCCGAUGGAGGGGGAUAACUACUGGAAACGGUAGCUAAUACCGCAUACCAUCGGAUGUGCCCAGAUGGGAUUAGCUAGUUGGUGGGGUAACGGCUCACCUAGGCGACGAUCCCUAGCUGGUCUGAGAGGAUGACCAGCCACACUGGAACGGGGACACGGUCCAGACGCUUACGGGGUGAAGCAGUGGGGAAUAGUGCACAAGGGGCGCAAGCCUGAUACAGCCAUGCCGCGUGUACGAAGAAGGCCUUCGGGUUGUAAAGUACUUUCAGCGAGGAGGCGUUACUCGCAGAAGAAGCACCGGCUAACGCCGGGCCAGCAGCCGCGGUAAUUC